AGACAACAGGGAUUGCCUUAGUAACGGCGAGUGAAGCGGCAACAGCUCAAAUUUGAAAUCUGGCCCUUGGGUCCGAAUUGUAAUUUGUAGAGGAUGAUUUUGGUGCGGUAUCUUCCGAGUUCCUUGGAACAGGACGCCUUAGAGGGUGAGAGCCCCGUACGGUUGAAUGCCUAGCCUCUGUAAAUCUCCUUCGACGAGUCGAGUAGUUUGGGAAUGCUGCUCUAAAUGGGAGGUAAAUUUCUUCUAAAGCUAAAUAUUGGCCAGAGACCGAUAGCGCACAAGUAGAGUGAUCGAAAGAUGAAAAGCACUUUGAAAAGAGGGUUAAAUAGCACGUGAAAUUGUUGAAAGGGAAGGAUUUGUGACCAGACUUUUUCUGGGCGGAUCAUCCGGGGUUCUCUCCGGUGCACUUUGCCCAGUAAAGGCCAGCAUCGGUUUUCGGCGGGGGAUAAAAGCAGUAGGAAUGUGGCUCUCUUCGGGGAGUGUUAUAGCCUAUUGUAUAAUACCCUGCUGGGGACCGAGGUACGCGCUUCUGCAAGGAUGCUGGCGUAAUGGUUAUCAAUCACCCGUCUUGAAACACGGACCAAGGAGUCGAACAUUUGUGCGAGUGUUUGGGUGUUAAACCCUCACGCGUAAUGAAAGUGAACGGAGGUGAGAGCCCUUACGGGUGCAUCAUCGACCGAUCCUGAAGUUUUCGGAUGGAUUUGAGUAAGAGCAUAACUGUUCGGACCCGAAAGAUGGUGAACUAUGCGUGGAUAGGGUGAAGCCAGAGGAAACUCUGGUGGAGGCUCGCAGCGGUUCUGACGUGCAAAUCGAUCGUCAAAUCUGCGCAUGGGGGCGAAAGACUAAUCGAUCAUCUAGUAGCUGGUACGCGAUUCCU
rnacentral:rRNA from 1 species